AACGAACGCUGGCGGCAUGCCUAACACAUGCAAGUCGAACGAAGCCUUCGGGCUUAGUGGCGCACGGGUGCGUAACACGUGGGAAUCUGCCCUUAGGUACGGAAUAACUCAAGGAAACUUGAGCUAAUACCGUAUGAUGUCUUCGGACCAAAGAUUUAUCGCCUAAGGAUGAGCCCGCGUCGGAUUAGCUAGUUGGUGGGGUAAAGGCCCACCAAGGCGACGAUACGUAGCUGGUCUGAGAGGAUGAUCAGCCACACUGGGACUGAGACACGGCCCAGACUCCUACGGGAGGCAGCAGUGGGGAAUAUUGGAAAAUGGGCGAAAUCCUGAUCCAGCAAUGCCGCGUGAGUGAAGAAGGCCUUCGGGUUGUAAAGCUCUUUUACCCGGGAAGAUAAUGACUGCACCGGGAGAAUAAGCCCCGGCUAACUCCGUGCCAGCAGCCGCCGUAA
rnacentral:rRNA from 1 species